UACGUAGGGUCCGAGCGUUGUCCGGAAUUAUUGGGCGUAAAGGGCUCGUAGGCGGUUUGUCGCGUCGGGAGUGAAAACACGGGGCUUAACCCCGUGCCUGCUUCCGAUACGGGCAGACUAGAGGUAUGCAGGGGAGAACGGAAUUCCUGGUGUAGCGGUGAAAUGCGCAGAUAUCAGGAGGAACACCGGUGGCGAAGGCGGUUCUCUGGGCAUUACCUGACGCUGAGGCGCGAAAGCGUGGGUAGCAAACAGG
rnacentral:rRNA from 1 species